AAGUCGUAACAAGGUUUCCGUAGGUGAACCUGCGGAAGGAUCAUUAAAGAAUAUCGAGCUUCACAGCUCUUAUUCUCACCCUUUGUAUAUCAAACUUUGUUGCUUUGACGCUCGUCGGCCGCAGACGAACCAACUAGAAUCUCUGCCGUCUGAGUACUAUAUAAUAGUUAAAA
rnacentral:misc_RNA from 1 species